rnacentral:rRNA from 1 species
AAGCUGGGCUUGAGGGUUGAAAUGACGCUCGAACAGGCAUCCCCGCCAGAAUACUGGCGGGCGCAAUGUGCGUUCAAAGAUUCGAUGAUUCCACUGAAAUCAUGCAAAUCCCCAUACCUUAUCGCAUUUUGCUGCGUUUUUCCACGGACACCAGAACCAAGAGAUCAUUU